rnacentral:ncRNA from 1 species
CCUACUCGUGGAAGGUGGAGCAGUCCGUCUUACAGUGGUUGAUACAGUAGACAAAAUCAAUCGAGGUUCGGAACAGGGGAUGAAAGAGGCCUCUGUGAAGCAGGAACGAGAAGUAAUCGCCUUGUAGAGCGGGGCGGUGAAUCGGUC